CCUACGGGUGGCAGCAGUGAGGAAUAUUGGUCAAUGGGCGGAAGCCUGAACCAGCCAAGUAGCGUGCAGGAUGACGGCCCUACGGGUUGUAAACUGCUUUUGUACGAGGGUACACGCAGAUACGCGUAUCUGUCUGAAAGUAUCGUACGAAUAAGGAUCGGCUAACUCCGUGCCAGCCGCCGCGGUAAUACGGAGGAUUCAAGCGUUAUCCGGAUUUAUUGGGUUUAAAGGGUGCGUAGGCGGUCGGAUAAGUUAGAGGUGAAAUCCCGAGGCUCAACUUCGGAAUUGCCUUUGAUACUGGUCGGCUAGAGAGUAGUUGCGGUAGGUGGAAUGUAUGGUGUAGCGGUGAAAUGCUUAGAUAUCAGACAGAACACCGAUUGCGAAGGCAGCUUACCAGGCUACUUCUGACGUUGAGGCACGAAAGCGUGGGGAGCAAACAGGAUUAGAUACCCUAGUAGUC
rnacentral:rRNA from 1 species